CAAGACCUGCGCUAUUGGAGCGGCCGAUGUCCGAUUAGCUAGUUGGUGGGGUAAAGGCUCACCAAGGCGACGAUCGGUAGCUGGUCUGAGAGGAUGAUCAGCCACACUGGGACUGAGACACGGCCCAGACUCCUACGGGAGGCAGCAGUGGGGAAUUUUGGACAAUGGGCGAAAGCCUGAUCCAGCCAUGCCGCGUGAGUGAAGAAGGCCUUCGGGUUGUAAAGCUCUUUCGGCCGGAACGAAAUCGACCGGGCUAACACCUCGGUUGGAUGACGGUACCGGAAGAAGAAGCACCGGCUAACUACGUGCCAGCAGCCGCGGUAAUACGUAGGGUGCAGGCGUUAAUCGGAAUUACUGGGCGUAAAGCGUGCGCAGGCGGCUUCCUAAGUCAGAUGUGAAAUCCCCGGGCUUAACCUGGGAACU
rnacentral:rRNA from 1 species